rnacentral:rRNA from 1 species
AACGAACGCUGGCGGCAGGCUUAACACAUGCAAGUCGAACGCCCCGCAAGGGGAGUGGCAGACGGGUGAGUAACGCGUGGGAAUCUACCCAUCCCUACGGAACAACUCCGGGAAACUGGAGCUAAUACCGUAUACGCCCUUAGGGGGAAAGAUUUAUCGGGGAUGGAUGAGCCCACGUUGGAUUAGCUAGUUGGUGGGGUAAGGGCCUACCAAGGCGACGAUCCAUAGCUGGUCUGAGAGGAUGAUCAGCCACAUUGGGACUGAGACACGGCCCAAACUCCUCCGGGAGGCAGCAGUGGAGAAUAUUGGACAAUGGGCGCAAGCCUGAUCCAGCCAUGCCGCGUGAGUGAUGAAGGCCUUAGGGUUGUAAAGCUCUUUCACCGAUGAAGAUAAUGACGGUAGUCGGAGAAGAAGCCCCGGCUAACUUCGUGCCAGCAGCCGCAGUAACAC